UGAAAGCACCUUCAUAUGAAGGGUCUGCUCACUCAAAUCACAGAAAACAUAUCUUCUCACUUACACCUAGUGGUCAAUAGCCAUGUAGGUAGUUUGAGUUUAUGUACCUAAAUCUGAAGAUUUCUGAAACUUCUUAGUGGUGGGGAAUUUCAUUUUUGCUGCCGUUUCUUUGGUAAAAAGUAGUUCCAUCAAAAACUGUUCUGUUCUUUAAAAGAUCCAGAGUAACUGGGACAUUGUUUGUAGAAAGACACACGUAAUGCUUUGACCCAAUUUGUCUUGGGGUGGUAGCGAAAAUUUUAGACUCAACUAGAGACCAUCUUGCACUGGGAUCACUCCAGCCAAGAUACAGGACCCGCAACUUAAAAAUGAAUGUGGGCAAGGGGCAUAAAGUGGAGGGUGACAAAGCAGCAUUCUGACUAUGCUAUUAAUAACUCAUAGAAACACUGUGCAAUAAUCCAACUUACAACUUCUGUUCCCGUCUCCGUCUUUCUCAGCAAUAACUCUAUUAUCAGUGUUGCUGCACUGAGUCUUUCCGUCAUUCAGCUUUUGACCAAGAAACUCUAUUAUAGUCCAAUAUAUUUAAAUUUCUGAGGUCAUAAAGUCUGGUAAAAAUAUUUUCCUCUGCAAAUAUGUAGGCCUGACACGCUGUCCUAACAGAAAGCAAGUGCCUCUCUGUCCUCACUGAAUCUGUUAAAUAUGCACUUAUAUUUUGUCAUGUAAACAAACCACUGCACCUGUCAGCUGUGCGCCUAAUGUUAACAAACCACAUAGGAAAUCAGCUGUGCGCUCGAUCAUACUUGAGACAUAACCACUGAGGAGAUAGGUGAGUACUUGCUGUCUGCCUACACUUGUACUUUUUAAAAAAGAAAACGUGUUUUAUAAUGUGAUAUUUACUGGAAAUUACAUUUACAGCAAGACUAGUAUGUCAUCAAAAAUGUGACAAAAACGUCAUAGUCAUAACUCAUACCGCAGCGGUGCCUGGACAGCGUGACGUGUGUGGUUGUGCUGCUGCCGUGGUCCCGCCAGAUGCCUCCUGCUGCUGCUGCCAUCAUUAGUCAUUAGUCAUACUUCUUCUGUUAUUAUACACAUAUGAUUAUUGUCACACAUGUAUACUGCCAGGUAUUAAUACAUACUUUCAACAUAUUGUACCGCAGUAACCAGAACUAUAACUAUAAUAUUAUUACUUUCAUUAAUGUUGUUGUAAGCUACUGUCAUUACCUGCAUCUCUCUCUCUCUCUCUCUCUCUCUCUCUCUGUCUCUCUCUGUCUCAUUGUGUCAUGUGGAUUACUGUUAAUUUAUUAUGCUGAUCUGUUCUGUACGACAUCUAUUGCACGUCUGUCCGUCCUGGAAGAGGGAUCCCUCCUCAGUUGCUCUUCCUGAGGUUUCUACCGUUUUUUUUCCCCGUUAAAGGGUUUUUUUGGGGAGUUUUUCCUUAUCCGCUGUGAGGGUCUUAAGGACAGAGGGAUGUCGUAUGCUGUAAAGCCCUGUGAGGCAAAUUGUGAUUUGUGAUAUUGGGCUUUAUAAAUAAAAUUGAUUGAUUGAUUGAUAGUAUAAUAUGUUAUCAAAAAUGUGACAAAAAUGUCAUAGUAUAGUAUAGUAUGUCAACAAAAAUGUCACAAAAACGUCAGUAUAGUAUGUCAUCAAAAAUGUCAUAAAAACGUCAUAUUAUAGCAUGUCAUCGAAAAUGUCACAAAAACGUCAUAUUAUAGCAUGUCAUCGAAAAUGUGAUAAAAACAUUAUCGUAUAGUAUGCCAUCAAAAAUAUCACAAAAACAUCAUAGUAUAGUAUGUCAUCAAACGUGAUAAAAAGUCAUAGUAUACUAUGUCAUUGAAAAUGUGACAAAAACGUCAUCAAAAAUGUGACAAAAACGUCAUAGUAUAUUACGUCAUCAUGUCGUCAAAAAUGUGACAAAAACGUCAUAGUAUAUUGUGUCAUCAAAAAUGUCACAAUUGUGUCAUCAAAAAUGUGAUAAAAACAUCAUAGUAUAGUAUGUCAUCAAAAAUGUGACAAAAACGUCAUAGUAUAGUAUGUCAUCAAAAAUGUGACAAAAACGUCAUAGUAUACUAUGUCACCAAAAACGUCAUAGUAUAGUAUGUCAUCAAAAAUGUGACAAAAACGUCAUAGUAUAGCAUGCCAUCGACAAUGUGACAAAAACGUCAUACUAUAAUAUGUUAUCAAAAAUGCGACAAAAACUUUAUAGUAUGUCAUCAAAAAUGUCACAAAAACGUCAUAGUAAAGCAUGCCAUCAAAAAUGUGACAAAAGCGUCAUAGUAUAGUAUGUCAUCAAAAAUAUCACAAAAACGUCAUAGUAUAGUAUGUCAUCAAAUGUGAUAAAAACGUCAUAGUAUACUAUGUCAUCAAAAAUGUGAUAAAACGUCAUAGUAAAGCAUGUCAUCAAAAAUGUGAUAAAAACGUGAUAGUAUAGGUAUGUCAUCAAAAAUGUGAUAAAACAUCAUAGUAUAGUAUGUCAUCAAAAAUGUGAUUAAAAACGUCAUAGUUUAGCAUGUCAUCAAAAAUGUGAUAAAAACGCCAUAGCAUACUAUGUCAUCAAAAAUGUCACAAAAACGUCAUAGUAAAGCAUGCCAUCAAAAAUGUGACAAAAGCGUCAUAGUAUAGUAUGUCAUCAAAAAUAUCACAAAAACGUCAUAGUAUAGUAUGUCAUCAAACGUGAUAAAAACGUCAUAGUAUACUAUGUCAUCAAAAAUGUGAUAAAACGUCAUAGUAUAGUAUGUCAUCAAACGUGAUAAAAA